CCUCAUACACUACUCAAUGAAGCAAAGAAGCAAACAAGAACAAGAACAGAACUACUCAACUGGUUAUUUCCAUGAUUCCUAAAAAUUACUAAAAUGCUUUUUCAAAAGGUAGAAUGGAUGUUUAAUGCAAGGCUUGAAGAGAUACUGGGGUGCCUUUUUCUGAUUCUGCCUGACACACACACACACACACUCUAAAAAAAAAAAAAAAGAGAGUCUGCUGGAGUAUGGCACUGUGACUUGAACUGAAUGAGAAAUAAUUAGCUGUUAUGGUUAUGGAUGAAGAUAUUGAACAAGACCAGACCCAGUACCAACCCCUGCGGAGCACUGCUAGCUACAAACCUCCAAAUAGACUCUUCACCACUGAUCACAACACUCUGAGCUCUCAGUUAUCUCAGUCAUCCAGUUAUCAGUGCUCCUCACUGUCCACUCAUCUAUCCCACACUUCCACUUACCUACAAGGAUGUUACGGAAUACAGUAUCAGAAGCCUUGUUGAAGUUGCGUUACACAAUAUCCAUUACUCUCUACUCAUCCACCCGGUCAAUGAUCACAUCAUAGAAGGCUAUCAGGUUG
rnacentral:lncRNA from 1 species